rnacentral:rRNA from 1 species
GGUUAAGUUAGAAAGGGCGCACGGUGGAUGCCUUGGCACUAGGAGCCGAAGAAGGACGGGACUAACACCGAUAUGCUUUGGGGAGCUGUACGUAAGCGUUGAUCCAGAGAUUUCCGAAUGGGGGAACCCACUAUCUUUAGUCGGAUAGUAUCCUUACGUGAAUACAUAGCGUGAGGAAGGCAGACCCAGGGAACUGAAACAUCUAAGUACCUGGAGGAAGAGAAAGAAAAAUCGAUUUCCUGAGUAG